rnacentral:miRNA from 1 species
ACAUGGAAGUACUGUCAUCUCG